UACAGAGGAGCCAAGCGUUGUCCGGAUUGACUGGGCGUAAAGCGCACGCAGGCGGGCGCGCGCGUGGGGUGUGAAAUCUGGCCGCUUAACGGCCAGGCGCCAUCCCAUACGGCGCGUCUGGAGCAAUGCAGAGGUCGGUGGAAUUGCCGGUGUAGUGGUGAAAUGCGUAGAGAUCGGGAGGAACACCAGUGGCGAAGGCGGCCGGCUGGGGGGUGACCUGACGCUGAGGCGCGAAAGCGUGGGGAGCGAA
rnacentral:rRNA from 1 species